rnacentral:tRNA from 1 species
GGAGAUAUGGCUCAGUUGGUAGAGCACCUGCCUGGCAUUCAGGAAACUGAAUAAUCUAGCUGUGCUGAUAUUUCCU